GCAAAUUGUUGGGUUUUCUGUGAGGCUGUCAUCCUCAUUGUUGUGGAUUCAGAUUUACAGAUUGGGGGUUUCUCAUGUAGAGAGUGCUGGUCCUCGAGGAGCAGAUUUUGAUUUAAGAAAUAAUUUCCUGAGCCCAAUAACUCCUGCUGUAGCUAGAGAAUGCUCAGAUUCUGAUGUUGCUUUAGUGGGCUCUAUUUAUGAUCCAGCUUACUAUUCAUCUCUUUUUGAAGAUGGUCGGGGC
rnacentral:misc_RNA from 1 species